UACGUAGGGGGCAAGCGUUGUCCGGAAUCAUUGGGCGUAAAGAGCGUGUAGGCGGUUCGGUAAGUCUGCUGUGAAAGUCCAGGGCUCAACCCUGGAAUGCCGGUGGAAACUGUCGGGCUAGAGUCCGGAAGAGGCGAGUGGAAUUCCUGGUGUAGCGGUGAAAUGCGCAGAUAUCAGGAGGAACACCAAUGGCGAAGGCAGCUCGCUGGGACGGUACUGACGCUGAGACGCGAAAGCGUGGGGAGCAAACAGG
rnacentral:rRNA from 1 species